rnacentral:rRNA from 1 species
GAUUAAGUGUCGUAAGGGCAUUUGGUGGAUGCCUUGGCAUGCACAGGCGAAGAAGGACGUGAUACGCUGCGAAAAGCCGUGGGGAGCUGCGAAUGAGCUUUGAUCCAUGGAUCUCCGAAUGGGGAAACCCACCUUAGAUACCUAGAAAAUCUGGUACGCCUCAGUGAUGAGGGAGUAGGAAUUAGGCAAUAGGCAUUAGGGUUUAGAUCCUAUUGGCUACUGCCUACUGGCUAUUGCCUCUGUAAAGGGGCGUUCGAGGUUUCUAGGUAUUGUUAAAAGGUAUCUAACCUUGAAUACAUAGGGGUUAGAAGCGAACGCAGGGAACUGAAACAUCUAAGUACCUGCAGGAAAGGACAUCAACCGAGACUCCGCAAGUAGUGGCGAGCGAACGCGGACCAGGCCAGUGGCAAUGAGGAAUAAAGCGGAACAGACUGGAAAGUCUGGCCAUAGUGGGUGACAGCCCCGUACGCGUAGAACACUCAUUGUCCUUGAGUAAGGCGGGACACGUGAAAUCCUGUCUGAACAUGGGGAGACCACUCUCCAAGCCUAAGUACUCGUGCAUGACCGAUAGCGAACAAGUACCGUGAGGGAAAGGUGAAAAGCACCCCGACAAGGGGAGUGAAAUAGAACCUGAAACCGGAUGCCUACAAACAGUAGGAGGCCGCAAGGCUGACUGCGUACCUUUUGUAUAAUGGGUCAACGACUUAGUGUAACUAGCAAGCUUAAGCCGGUAGGUGUAGGCGCAGCGAAAGCGAGUCUGAACAGGGCGAUUGAGUUAGUUGCAUUAGACCCGAAACCGAGUGAUCUAGCCAUGAGCAGGUUGAAGGUUGGGUAACACCAACUGGAGGACCGAACCCGCAUCUGUUGCAAUAGAUUGGGAUGACUUGUGGCUAGGGGUGAAAGGCCAAUCAAACUCGGAAAUAGCUGGUUCUCCGCGAAAUCUAUUUAGGUAGAGCGUCGACCGAAUACCCUCGGGGGGUAGAGCACUGGAUGGGCUAUGGGGACUCACCGUCUUACUGAUCCUAACCAAACUCCGAAUACCGAGGAGUACUAGUCGGCAGACACACGGCGGGUGCUAACGUCCGUCGUGAAAAGGGCAACAACCCUGACCUCCAGCUAAGGUCCCCAAGUCAUGGCUAAGUGGGAAAGGAUGUGAGGAUCCCAAAACAACCAGGAUGUUGGCUUAGAAGCAGCCAUCAUUUAAAGAAAGCGUAACAGCUCACUGGUCUAAAUAAGGGUCUUUGCGCCGAAAAUGUAACGGGGCUAAAGCCAUGCACCGAAGCUGAGGAUGUAUCGCAAGAUACGUGGUAGCGGAGCGUUCCGUAAGCCUGUGAAGGGGUACCUGUGAGGGGCCCUGGAGGUAUCGGAAGUGCGAAUGUUGACAUGAGUAACGAUAAAGAGGGUGAGAGACCCUCUCGCCGAAAGACCAAGGGUUCCUGCUUAAAGUUAAUCUGAGCAGGGUUAGCCGGCCCCUAAGGCGAGGCAGAAAUGCGUAGUCGAUGGGAACCACGUUAAUAUUCGUGGGCCUGGUGGUAGUGACGGAUUGCGUAACUUGUUCAUUCUUAUUGGAUUGAAUGGGCGAGGAAGCGGUUCCAGGAAAUAGCUCCACCGUAUAGACCGUACCCGAAACCGACACAGGUGGUCAGGUAGAGUAUACCAAGGCGCUUGAGAGAACUAUGUUGAAGGAACUCGGCAAAUUGCACGCGUAACUUCGGAAGAAGCGUGACCCCUUUUGACGCAAGUCAGAUGGGGUGGCACAGACCAGGGGGUAGCGACUGUUUAUCAAAAACACAGGGCUCUGCGAAGUCGCAAGACGACGUAUAGGGUCUGACGCCUGCCCGGUGCUGGAAGGUUAAGAGGAGAGGUGCAAGCUUUGAAUCGAAGCCCCAGUAAACGGCGGCCGUAACUAUAACGGUCCUAAGGUAGCGAAAUUCCUUGUCGGGUAAGUUCCGACCUGCACGAAUGGCGUAACGACUUCCCCGCUGUCUCCAACAUAGACUCAGUGAAAUUGAAUUCCCCGUGAAGAUGCGGGGUUCCUGCGGUCAGACGGAAAGACCCCGUGCACCUUUACUAUAGCUUUACACUGGCAUUCGUGUCGGCAUGUGUAGGAUAGGUGGUAGGCUUUGAAGCUUGGACGCCAGUUUGAGUGGAGCCAUCCUUGAAAUACCACCCUUAUCGUCAUGGAUGUCUAACCGCGAUCCGUCAUCCGGAUCCGGGACAGUGUAUGGUGGGUAGUUUGACUGGGGCGGUCGCCUCCGAAAGAGUAACGGAGGCGCGCGAUGGUGGGCUCAGACCGGUCGGAAAUCGGUCGUCGAGUGCAAUGGCAUAAGCCCGCCUGACUGCGAGACUGACAAGUCGAGCAGAGACGAAAGUCGGUCAUAGUGAUCCGGUGGUCCCGUGUGGAAGGGCCAUCGCUCAACGGAUAAAAGGUACGCCGGGGAUAACAGGCUGAUGACCCCAAGAGUCCAUAUCGACGGGGUUGUUUGGCACCUCGAUGUCGGCUCAUCGCAUCCUGGGGCUGGAGCAGGUCCCAAGGGUUUGGCUGUUCGCCAAUUAAAGCGGUACGUGAGCUGGGUUCAGAACGUCGUGAGACAGUUCGGUCCCUAUCUGCCGUGGGUGUAGGAAUAUUGACAGGAUCUGUCCCUAGUACGAGAGGACCGGGAUGGACAUAUCUCUGGUGGACCUGUUGUCCUGCCAAGGGCAUAGCAGGGUAGCUAUAUAUGGAAGGGAUAACCGCUGAAGGCAUCUAAGCGGGAAACCCACCUGAAAACGAGUAUUCCCUAUCAGAGCCGUGGAAGACGACCACGUUGAUAGGACGGGUGUGGAAGCGCAGCAAUGUGUGAAGCUUACCGUUACUAAUAGCUCGAUUGGCUUGAUCGUUCUCAUU